ACGUAGGCAGCAAGCGUUGUUCGGAGUUACUGGGCGUAAAGAGUGCGUAGGUGGUUCUCUAAGUUCGGUGUGAAAUCUCCCGGCUCAACUGGGAGGGUGCGCCGAAAACUGGAGAGCUUGAGUAUGGGAGAGGAGAGCGGAAUUCCUGGUGUAGCGGUGAAAUGCGUAGAUAUCAGGAGGAACACCUGUGGUGCAGACGGCUCUCUGGACCAUUACUGACACUGAGGCACGAAAGCGUGGGGAGCAAACAG
rnacentral:rRNA from 1 species